rnacentral:rRNA from 1 species
CAGCAGCCACGGUAAUACGAAGGGGGCUAGCGUUGCUCGGAAUGACUGGGCGUAAAGGGCGCGUAGGCGGCGAUCAAAGUCAGGCGUGAAAUUCCUGGGCUCAACCUGGGGGCUGCGUUUGAUACUUGAUUGCUAGAGUGGGGAAGAGGGUCGUGGAAUUCCCAGUGUAGAGGUGAAAUUCGUAGAUAUUGGGAAGAACACCGGUGGCGAAGGCGGCGACCUGGUCCUUGACUGACGCUGAGGCGCGAAAGCGUGGGGAGCAAACAGGAUUAGAUACCCCUGUAGUCCCUGUCUCUUAUAC